rnacentral:lncRNA from 1 species
UUAAUGAAGUCCCCUCUCAGUUGCCUCUUCACCCACUCAGCCUUUCUUCACAAUGCUCCUUAACGAUCUUUGUUGCCCUCUGCUGGCCCCCAGGUUUGGGGUGUCGGAAGUCAGUAAUAAACAGGGGUGGGAGUGGAGUAUUGAUGUGUGAGGGGAAGGUAGGAGGGUGGAAGGAUGGAAAAGGAAAAAAAGGUGUCCGGGGGAGAGUAGUCUGAAUUGGGUUAUGGGGCGCUGCCCCACCUCACCCAUUGGACUCAGCGCGCAGGCCGUGAGUCUGUCUCAAAGCACCGCGGGGCCACGAGCAUCCGCCGGGGUUCGCGGGGGAACCGCUGCGGCUUCUCCUGCCCGGGCCGGCCCGCGCGGCGCCCCCCCUUGCUGGUGGCUCACCCGCCCGUCGCGGGCGGGGCCCUGCUGGGGCCGCGGGCGGCCCUUCCCUCAGACCUUCCCCGAGGCGGGGCGCGGGUGACGCGCACCCCGUGGCUGGCCUCGGCAGUGAGCUUCCCCCGGACGCCUGCAAGGACGUUUCGGGUUACUUAUAUAGCCUCACUUAGGCGACUUUUUCAGCUCAGGGGCUGCUUGGCUCCCAGGACCACAGAGCUGGAAGUGACAGGCCGAGCCCAGGAUGCUGUGCUGGGGGCUUCUGCUGUGAUGCUGGAUGGAGACCACACCUCAGAGGCUGUGCCUGUGUUUAUCUUCUCUCCUGGAUGCCAACGUGACAGUGGUACCAAGAAGCCCCUGCUCAGGCUAGAGACCCAGUGCCAGAUGCUGUGUGUUCUGAUGGAAGGAGUGGGAGCCAGCCUUGGAGAACCAUGCAGGAAGAGCCCAGGCCCUGACUUGGAGUGCUCUGUGCUCCAGGGCUUCUGCUCCUCUGUUAUGUUCCAAAUCCCCAACCCUUCUUGCUCCAGAACUUCUGAAGUGCACCUCCCACCUCCCUGA